AAAAUCCAGUUUUUUUCUUGAACUGGAGGGUUGAUUUUUUACCCUUUUGGAAUUUGAUUUUUAACUAUUUUUAUUGGAUUCAAAUAGGGGAGUAUUUGCUUGUUUAUGAAUAAUAUACUAAGAUGAUAUUUAACA